GACGAACGCUGGCGGCGUGCCUAAUACAUGCAAGUCGAACGCAGUGGGGACGGGUGAGUAACACGUGGGUAACCUCCCAUCAGAGGGGAUAACACUUGGAAACAGGUGCUAAACUGCUACUGAUGGAUGGACCUGCGGGGCAUUAGCUAGUUGGUGAGGUAACGGCUCACCAAGGCCACGAUGCAUAGCCGACCUGAGAGGGUGAUCGGCCACACUGGGACUGAGACACGGCCCAGACUCCUACGGGAGGCAGCAGUGGGGAAUCUUCGACAAUGGGCGAAAGUCUGACCGAGCAACGCCGCGUGUGUGAAGAAGGUUUUCGGGUCGUAAAGCUCUGUUGUUAGAGAGGCGGUAUCUAACCAGAAAGCCACGGCUAACUACGUGCCAGCAGCCGCGGUAAUUC
rnacentral:rRNA from 1 species